rnacentral:lncRNA from 1 species
CGGCGUGCACUGUCGGUCGGCGGCUAAGGAGGGGAGGCACCUGCAUCUGGGGCGCGGCGAAUCCUCGCGUGCGCCAGGCCGCCUGGGGUAGUCGCCGAGACUGCGCCGGCCAGCGGGGCCGAAACCUAAUCAGGAGCUGAGCUUUGAUGGCGGCUUCUGGAGGGACAAAGAAGGCGCAGAGCGGUGGGAGGAGGCUGCGAGAACCUAGCUCCCGCCCCAGCCGACGUGCGAGACAAAGGCCCCGGCGCGGGGCUCUUCGGAAGGCCGGGAGGUUCCUGUGACAAUGCGAGUCUGCGCCCCACGCUCCCGCACCGUGAUGCCGAGGCCAAAUGGCUAGAGUGGGCCCAGGCAUCAGCAUUUCUGUUUGGCAGCCGGGCAGUUGUGGUGCACGUUUUGAGGAACUACUAAAGCCUGCCUGUGAUGAAAAAGGCAAAAGCUGACUUCACCAAAAUUACUCCCAGGGAGACUUCUGCAUUUGGCUGGAAGGACAUUUGAGUAAACCGCUGAGGCUGGUGGUUGAAACAUAAUCCUCUAAGGGAGAUCGGUUCCGAUACCCUGAGUUAGGGACGCUUGCCUGGGCAGAGCUAAGGGGAGAAUGAUCAAAAGCCAAGCUCUGUCCCCGUCAGCACGUCACCCUCCCUCACUGUAAUCCCUGACUGUUUUCUCUAAAUGAAGAAUUAUUUAGAGAAUAUAAAUUAGAAGGGCCGCCACGUCAGAAUUGCCUGAGUGGGAGCAGUCUUUCCAGCCUCGAAAAAUGUUUAAACAAUAUGCAGAUGACCUAGCACAAAUAAAGAAUGCUAGCAACCGCUGUUAUGUGUGAGCGGUGGAAUUGGGAGGGCUCUUCCCCCAAUCUUCAUCAAACAGAGUAAGGUUUAGAAUAAAAAUAAUGAAAUACAGUCUUUCAAAAAGAGCAGCGCUUGACUAAUGUUACUGAUGUCACUCAUGUUACUCAAGGGAGGAAAGAACUCAAACUCUACAUAAUAAUACCCACUGAUUUCAAGGGCUGGCACGGAGAAUUAAGCAGACCGCCAUUCUUUAUAUUUGUUUUUUUGUUGUUGUUUGCUUAUGAUUUUUUUCUUUCUUUUUUUUUUUUUUUUUUUGAGAAGGGGUCUCGCACUGUCACCCAGGCAGGAAUGCAGUGGCGCGAUAAUGGCUCACUGCAAUCUCACUAUAUUGACCAGUAUGAUUUUCAACUCCUGUCUUUAAGCGAUCCUCACGCUUCGGCCUCCCAAAGUGCUGGGGUUACAGACAUGUGCCACUAUGCCCUGCCUAAAUAUGUUUAUAUAUACUACCGCCAAAGAAACAAUUUGAAGACGAUCUUUCCCCAGCCCCUCUCCUUCUGAUCCAACUCCAAGAGCUCACCCUCCCUGUAAGACCUGUAGCAGAGCACGUAUUGGCCUGCUGAUACUAGGGGCAAAGACCGGGCCGAUCAGAUGUUACAUGGCAUAAGGGCGAAGGAUUCUGAAAGAAAGACUGAGACUUGCUGGAGGAAGUACUAGUAGUGCCAAGGGCAGGUAUGUGACCCUCGGAGCUGCAGAGCCAGGAACUCAACUGUUAGGCAGAAGGGAGGAAUGUACUGUUGAUAUGGACAGACUCCAAGAAGGGGAGGGACUGCUGGGACUACUAGAACGAGAAUGCCUCUGCCCCUAUGGCUCAGCUCUGCAACUCUCUCUGCACAUUGGCUUCAUGCUGUUAGACCAGCUUCCUCCAUAUGUCUGGAAACAAGGCCACUGACAGCUCCCAACAUUUCAUCUUCUGCCUCAUCAUCAGACAGGCGAGUGCAGUGGCAUAAUCUCGGCUCACUGCAACCUUUGCCUCCUGGGUUCAAGCAAAAACUGGAAUGAUGCAGCUUCAGGCCAAGGAAUGCUGGCAGCCACCAGAAGCUGAAGGACACAAGGAAUGGAUUCUCAGAGCCUCGGCAGGAAAUGUGGCCCUGCCAACACCUUGAUUUCAGACUUCUCAACUCCAGUACUGGGAGGGAAUAAAUUUCUGUUGUUUUAAGCCUCCCAGUUUGUGAUAAUUUGCUACAGCAGCCACAGGAAGCAAAUAAGGAGGGCCUAUUUGGAGGAGGAUGCAAACCCAGCAGUGGGUGAUGAACUAUUCUUACUUACAGCUACCUUAUUCAUUACUAGUCUAGACUUAAGCAUUGACUUCAUCACUGAAAAGGCUGCAGCUGAGCCUAGAGUUUCAGGUUCCUGUGCUGCAUAUGGCUACAGUGAUUCUUAGGUCAGCUCCCUAGGAUGCAGUUGAGUCUCUCUCUAACUGAUGAGUCUCUUUAAAUAUACAGUUGGGGCUGGGUGCGGUGGCUCACACCUCUAAUCCUAGCACUUUUGGAGGUU